rnacentral:rRNA from 2 species
UGGGGAAUAUUGCACAAUGGGCGAAAGCCUGAUGCAGCGACGCCGCGUGAAGGAUGAAGUAUUUCGGUAUGUAAACUUCUAUCAGCAGGGAAGAAAAUGACGGUACCUGACUAAGAAGCCCCGGCUAACUACGUGCCAGCAGCCGCGGUAAUACGUAGGGGGCAAGCGUUAUCCGGAUUUACUGGGUGUAAAGGGAGCGUAGACGGCUGUGCAAGUCUGAAGUGAAAGGCAUGGGCUCAACCUGUGGACUGCUUUGGAAACUGUGCAGCUAGAGUGUCGGAGAGGUAAGUGGAAUUCCUAGUGUAGCGGUGAAAUGCGUAGAUAUUAGGAGGAACACCAGUGGCGAAGGCGGCUUACUGGACGAUGACUGACGUUGAGGCUCGAAAGCGUGGGGAGCAAACAGG